rnacentral:rRNA from 1 species
CCCUUAGAUGUCCUGGGCCGCACGCGCGCUACACUGAUGCAUGCAACGAGUUUAUAACCUUGGCCUGAAAGGUCUGGGUAAUCUUUUGAACGUGCAUCGUGAUAGGGAUAGAUUAUUGCAAUUGUUAAUCUUGAACGAGGAAUUCCUAGUAAACGCGAGUCAUCAGCUCGCAUUGAUUACGUCCCUGCCCUUUGUACACACCGCCCGUCGCUCCUACCGAUUGAGUGGUCCGGUGAGGCUUCGGGAUCUGAGCGGAAAGAGCGUUUCGCUGUUUCUGCCCGGAAAACUCAGUCGAACCUUAUCAUUUAGAGGAAGGAGAAGUCGUAACA